AUACUUCAGAGCAGAACCCACUACCGAGAUGAGCAAGAAGACCCACGGGAAGUAUCGUCGGACGAGCCUGCGUCAAUGUACAUUUUGAGAGGGACACAAAGACAGGCCAUGAGAAUGUGCAGAGCAAGAGGAGCAGGGUGAUGGUCUAAGGGACGGUGGGAUGUCUGUGGCCCCGGGAACUGCAGGGCCAGGUGGUGCAGUGUAUCUUGGCAGUGCCCUCAGUCUCUUCUUAUAGUCGGCUACAUAAGUUUGGGGGCCCAUUGUGAAACCAACAACAGCUGGAGAUGAAUGCUGACUCUGCAGCUACUUUUCCCCCUUUUCUGCUCUCUUCACUUCAUCACUUCAUCACUCAGUCUUUCCCUAAGGCCUGCUUAUUUAAACAUUUCAUUGUGUUUUAUUGAAACAACUCAGGGGGAUCUUAGGGGAGCCAAAGUAUGUGCUCUAUUAUUACUGCAGCUGACUCUUGGGAGGCAGCUCCAUAACUUCAAAUUGUCCUGAAUUGUAUUUAAAACAAUUAAGAAGAAGAAUUUAUUUACUAACUUGGCAUUCAUGACCAAUAUACAGAAAAACUGUCGACUAAUUAAUGCCAUGCAAUAUUGUGUUUUUAUUUUGACUAAUAUUGAUGAGGUACAUAUGCAAAGCAUGCUGAUUGACAGCCGUCAGGGUUAAGGAGAGUAAAAUUAAAUCUAAUAAACAUAUAAAAGAAGACAAUGUGAAUUGUUUUUCACAGCCAACUCAUAAUGUUGUAGCUGCCAUUAAUAAUAAUAUGUACAUAAGAGGCUCAGGUGAAACAAAACGAUGUCAUAACUACAUGCAGAACUAUGAUGGCAACGGUCCACAUCUAAUGGAACAACUGUAUAUACAAUUGUUUUGUUUCUAUAUGUAUACAACAUGCAUAUAAAAAAGCCUCAUGCAAAUGGGUUAUUUUGCCCCCACACACUCUCAGUUUGUGAUUAUUUGAAAUGUAUAAUACAGUAUAUAUACUUCACUUGUGAUGCAUCCAUAACUGGAAACUGGUAUUAAGAUAGAUAUUAUAAUCUCUUUGAAUCUCUUAUGAUGCUGCUGAUUAAUAAACCCUUGCAAUGUGUAAGUCAAUGCACAACAUUUUUAUACCCAACAUUUUCCAGAUGUUUUUAACUAACUAAAGCGUCAUUGAUUCCCACCAUAAAACAAAUAAAAGACAAUG